CUGGUUAGAGCGUCAGCCUCACAGUUCUGAGGACCCGGGUUCAAUCCCCGGCCCCGCCUGUGUGGAGUUUGCAUGUUCUCCCCGUGCCUGCGUGGGUUUUCUCCGGGCACUCCGGUUUCCUCCCACAUCCCAAAAACAUGCAUGAAUUGGAGACUCUAAAUUGCCCGUAGGCAUGACUGUGAGUGUGGAUGGUUGUUUGUUCCUAUGUGCCCUGCAAUUGGCUGGCAACCAGUUCAGGGUGUACCCCGCCUCCUGCCCGAUGACAGCUGGGAUAGGCUCCAGCACGCCCGCGACCCUAGUGAGGAGAAGCGGCUCAGAAAAUGGAUGGAUGGAUGGACUUGCAUUAGUUUACGUGGUGAUGUAACACAUUAACAAUGGCGGAGGAGCGUACGUGUCCCAGCAAGGGGCCAAGCCACUCAAGGCGUAAUCUAUGUAUAUUUGAUGUCUAUGAAGACUACGUGUACAGUGGACACCUGUAGGCGUAAAACCACGUGCAGUACAUACUCUGCGUUUAUAUCAAAGCCUUAACAAAAUGAUGAAUAAUAUUAAAACAUACUUAAUGCUUUAGAUGCUUGAGCUAUAACGAUCUUAAUAUUAUAUUCGUUCUAACGGUUAAAACAGACAGUGUGCGUCGCCAUUUUUACGAGUUUAUGGCGAGUUCGCGGUACAAUUUUUAUACUAACUACGUGUCCCAGAAUGCACCACGUUUUCAACACAGCAGUCCCUACCCAAUGGUGCUCAAUAACACCCACGUAGUUGCUUUGGAACAGGGGUCGCCACACCGCGUCAUCCUAUCUCCUGCAUCCUCCUCUCCAAGACCAACUGCCCUCCUGUCUUCCCUCACGACAUCCAUCAACCUUCUCUGUGGUCUUCCUCUCGCUCUCUCGCCUGGCAGCUCCAUCCUCAUCAUCCUUCUACCAAUAUACUCACUAUUUCUCCACUGGACGUGUCCAGACCAUCCAAGUCUGCUCUCUCUAACUUUGUCUCCAAAACAUCGAACCUCGGCUCUCCCUCUGAUGAGCUCAUUUCUAAUUUUAUCCGACCUGGUCACUCCGAGAGCGAACCUCAACAUCUUCAUUUCCGCCACCUCCAGCUCGGCUUCCUGUUGUCUCUUCAGUGCCACUGUCUCUAAUCCGUCCAUCAUGGCUGGCCUCACCACUGUCUUCUAAACUUUGCCCUUCAUCCUAGCAGAGACUCUUCUGUCACAUAACACACCUGACACCUUCCUCCACCCGUUCCAACCUGCUUGGACCCGUUUCUUCACUUCCUGACCACACUCACCGUUGCUCUGGACGGUUGACCCCAAGUAUUUCAAGUCCUCCACCCUUUCUAUCUCUUCUCCCUGUACUCUUCCCCCACCACCCCUCUCAUUCGUGCACAUAUAUUUUGCCUUACUUCGGCUAAUCUUCAUUCCUCAGCUUUCCAGUGCAUGCCUCCACAUUCCUAACUGUUCCUCCACCUGCUCCCUGCUUUCACUGCAGAUCACAAUGUCCUCUGCAAACAUCACGGUCCACGGGGAUUCCUUUCUCACCUCAUCUGUCAGCCUAUCCAUCACCACUGCAAACAGGAAGGGGCUCAGGGCUGACCCCUGAUGCAGUCCCACCUCCACCUUAAAUUCGUCUGUCACACCUACAGCACACCUCACCGCUGUUCUGCUGCCCUCGUACAUGUCCUGGAUUAUUCGAACAUACUUCUCUGCCACUCCAGACUUCCGCAUGCAGUACCACAGUUCCUCUCUGGGUACUCUGUCAUAGGCUUUCUCUAGAUCUACAAAGACACAAUGUAGCUCCUUCUGACCUUCUCUGUACUUUUCCAUCAACAUCCUCAAGGCAAAUAAUGCAUCUGUGGUACUCUUUGUAGGCAUGAAACCAUACUGUUGCUCGCAAAUACUCACUUCUGUCCUGAGUCUAGCCUCCACUACUCUUUCCCAUAACUUCAUUGUGUGGCUCAUCCACUUGAUUCCUCUGUAGUUCCCACAGCUCUGCACAUGACCCUCGUUCUUACAAAUGGGCACCAGCAAACUUUUCCUCCAUUCCUCAGGCAUCUUCUCACGUGCUAGAAUUCUAUUGAACAAGCUAACCAUUCCUCAACUUUCUCACUCUUUUUGUGUCCCAGCUUUUUUGGAACGUGUUGCAGCCAUAAAAUUCCAAGUUAAUGAUUAUUUGCUAAAAACAAUCAAGUUUGUCAGUUUGAACAUGAAAUAUCUUGUCUUUGUAGUGUAUUCAAUUAAAUAUAAGCUGAUCAUGAUUUGCAAAUCAUUGUAUUCUGUUUUUAUUUAUUUUUUUAACGUCCCAACUUCAUUGGAAUUGGGGUUGUAAAAUGUUAAGCUUAUAACUGUAAAAUAUGAUUUCAAUGUUUUCCCCAAUGCCAGAUGUUGGUGUGAUGUAAAACAGAUUGUGUCAUAUCGUUAAAAAUUGGCUGUUUUUCUUCACUUUUUUUUUUUUUUUUAAUGAAACACUUGUUUUCAUAACAAACAGAUGUGUAUUUAAUAAGACCUUCCAAUUUCUCCAAUAUGAGAUUCUAGCAAUCAGCCGUUUACACCGAAUAAAGAUAUAAUUACAACACGUUUA